AAGUACGCCAUUUGUAUAUGAUUACGCGCUUCUCAGCGCCGUUUUUAGAAGCCUUUCGUGUAAAGAUUUGUGAAGCAAAAGGUUUGCCAAAUGAUCUAUCAGAUUUUGUGUUCUGCCAGUACUCUUUCUGGGGUCACUUGGAAAGUGACCUCUUUCUGGGGUCACUUGGAUGACUUCAUUACUGUUCCGCUGGAGAUCAAUCCAGACACUAAUAAUGGCAAAAAGGACACCAAAUGUAUCAAGUUUAACCAUGAAAGGGAUUUCAAAGAUUAUAUGUCAAAAGAGUUCGUUGAGCAUGACCAGGAAGGAGCAUUAUCUGUAGAGGUCUGGGUACAUAAAGUUGUUGGGUUUGGUCAACAGAUCUCCCUGAGAGAGAAUGCGGUUACAUCAACUCUCUUGUUGACAGG